rnacentral:rRNA from 1 species
UAGUCCACACGGUAAACGAUGAAUACUCGCUGUUGGCGAUAUACAGUCAGCGGCCAAGCGAAAGCAUUAAGUAUUCCACCUGGGGAGUACGCCGGCAACGGUGAAACUCAAAGGAAUUGACGGGGGCCCGCACAAGCGGAGGAACAUGUGGUUUAAUUCGAUGAUACGCGAGGAACCUUACCCGGGCUUAAAUUGCACUGGACAGCUGCUGAAAGGCGGUUUUCUUCGGACCAGUGUGA